GUGACAUUGUAACUGUGUGUGCGGAGGGAGUGUGUGGGAUGAAUGUAUUUGAUGAGUUAGUCUUUGACACAGCACCUGCCGGACCCACUCCUCUUAGAGAGUGGUCUGGGACCUGCCGCGCGCAUCUCGUUGUGGCGGCAUUCCCACGUGGCAAUGGGAAUGCCGCCAAUUACUUACAUCUUCCUGUGGCACCCACUGUCCUCACUCCGAGCACGGUCUAGGAGCUGACAGGUG